GACGAACGCUGGCGGCGUGCCUAACACAUGCAAGUCGAGCGAGUGGAUUUCCUUCGGGAAUGAAGCUAGCGGCGGACGGGUGAGUAACACGUGGGCAACCUACCUCAUAGAGGGGAAUAGCCUCCCGAAAGGGAGAUUAAUACCGCAUAAGUUUGUAGCUUCGCAUGAAGUAGCAAUUAAAGGAGUAAUCCGCUAUGAGAUGGGCCCGCGGCGCAUUAGCUAGUUGGUGAGGUAACGGCUCACCAAGGCGACGAUGCGUAGCCGACCUGAGAGGGUGAUCGGCCACAUUGGGACUGAGACACGGCCCAGACUCCUACGGGAGGCAGCAGUGGGGAACAUUGCACAAUGGGGGAAACCCUGAUGCAGCAACGCCGCGUGAGUGAUGACGGCCUUCGGGUUGUAAAGCUCUGUCUUCAGGGACGAUAAUGACGGUACCUGAGGAGGAAGCCACGGCUAACUACGUGCCAGCCGCCGCUGUAACAC
rnacentral:rRNA from 1 species